GAUGAACGCUAGCGAUAGGCUUAACACAUGCAAGUCGAGGGGCAGCAUGGUCUUAGCUUGCUAAGACUGAUGGCGACCGGCGCACGGGUGCGUAACGCGUAUGCAACUUGCCUCACAGAGGGGGAUAACCCGUCGAAAGACGGACUAAUACCGCGUACACUCCAUCUUGGGCAUCCAAGGUAGAGGAAAUGAAAUUCGCUGUGAGAUAGGCAUGCGUCCCAUUAGCUAGUUGGUGAGGUAACGGCUCACCAAGGCGACGAUGGGUAGGGGAACUGAGAGGUUGAACCCCCACACUGGUACUGAGACACGGACCAGACUCCUACGGGAGGCAGCAGUGGGGAAUAUUGGUCAAUGGGCGAGAGCCUGAACCAGCCAAGUCGCGUGAAGGAUGACUGUCUUAUGGAUUGUAAACUUCUUUUAUACGGGAAUAACAAGAGUCACGUGUGACUCCCUGCAUGUACCGUAUGAAUAAGCAUCGGCUAACUCCGUG
rnacentral:rRNA from 1 species